rnacentral:lncRNA from 1 species
GCAGCUCCCGCGCCACCACCACCACCACCGCCGAGAGGAAAGAAAUAUCGCCACCGCCGCCGCCGCUCAUCCCGGGCGAGCCGCCAUGGCCGGCGAUGAUGAGAUCUUCUCCACGCUGAACCUCAUCGAGCACCACCUCCUCGGCGACGCCUUCCUCUCCCCUGGCCCAGCACCGUCCGUCGGCGCCACCUCCUCCUUCUUCCUCGCUCCUCUUCCGGCGGCCACCAACUCCGGCCUGGCGGGCUCUUCCUACUCCUACGCCGCCUCCUCCUCCACUUCCGGGGGGUCUCCGUCGGUGGCCGGCGACGCCGUCGAUGACUUCCUGGAGGAGGACCCCUUCGGGGAGUCCAAGUCCAAUUCAGCAUCGUCCUCCUCUUCGAUCUCAUCUGGAAAGCCGUCGCUGAUCAUCUCCAGGCCGGCAGUUCCCAAAGUAGAGUGGACAGCGGCAGCGCCGGGGGAGUACUACGAGGAGGCGGCGCCGCCGGUGGGGGGCAGCGAUCUGGGAGACUGCCGGGGCUACCGGGGAGUCCGGCGCCGGCCGUGGGGGAAGUUCGCGGCUGAGAUUAGGGACCCGAAGCGGCGGGGCUCCAGGGUCUGGCUGGGGACCUAUGACACGGCGGUGGAGGCCGCCCGCGCCUACGACCGCGCUGCCUUCCAGAUGAGGGGCAGCAAGGCCAUCCUCAAUUUCCC